UACGAAGGGGGCGAGCGUUGUUCGGAAUUACUGGGCGUAAAGGGCGCGCAGGCGGCUCUGAAAGUCAGAUGUGAAAGCCCCGGGCUUAACCUGGGAACUGCAUUUGAUACCCUGGAGCUUGAGUGUGGGAGAGGAGAGUGGAAUUCCCAGUGUAGAGGUGAAAUUCGUAGAUAUUGGGAAGAACACCGGUGGCGAAGGCGGCUCUCUGGACCACAACUGACGCUGAGGUGCGAAAGCGUGGGGAGCAAACAGG
rnacentral:rRNA from 1 species